rnacentral:tRNA from 1 species
UGUUUGUUGUACUUUAUUGUAGUAGACGGACUCUUAAUCAGCGGGUCGAAGGUUCGAAUCCUUCACGGCCCACCA